CGCUCGUAGUCGGGUUUCGGGUCGGGCCGAGCGGUCUGCCGAUGGGUAUGCACUGUUUGGCGCGGCCUUCUUUCCGGAGACCGCGGCUACUCUUAACUGAGCGGGCGUGGGAGACGGAUCGUUUACUUUGAAAAAAUCAGAGUGUUUCAAGCAGGCAGCUCGCUCUUGCAUGGUACAGCAUGGGAUGAUUGAAUAGGACUCCGGUGCUAUUUUGUUGGUUUCGAACACCAGGAGUAAUGAUUAACAGGGACAGUCAGGGGCACUCGUAUUCCGUCGAGAGAGGUGAAAUUCUCAGACCAAUGGAAGACGAACCACUGCGAAAGCAUUUGCCAGGGAUGUUUUCACUGAUCAAGAACGAAAGUUAGGGGAUCGAAGACGAUCAGAUACCGUCGUAGUCUUAACCAUAAACCAUGCCGACUAGGGAUUGGAGGGUGUUCGUUUCGACCUCUUCAGCACCUUACGGGAAACUAAAGUCUUUGGGUUCCGGGGGGAGUAUGGUCGCAAGGCUGAAACUUAAAGGAAUUGACGGAAGGGCACCACCAGGAGUGGAGCCUGCGGCUUAAUUUGACUCAACACGGGGAAACUUACCAGGUCCAGACAUUGUUAGGAUUGACAGAUUGAGAGCUCUUUCUUGAUUCGAUGGGUGGUGGUGCAUGGCCGUUCUUAGUUGGUGGAGUGAUUUGUCUGGUUAAUUCCGAUAACGAACGAGACCGUAGCCUGCUAAAUAGUCCCGCGAACUUCUUGUUGGC
rnacentral:rRNA from 1 species